GUCUACGGCCAUGCUACUCUGAACAAGCCCGGUCCCAUCUGAUCUCAAAAGCUAAGCAGGGUCGGGCCUGGUUAGUACUUGGCUGGAGACCACCUAGGAAGACCAGGUGCUGUAGGCG
rnacentral:rRNA from 1 species